UGGCGGACGGGUGAGUAACGCGUGGAUAACCUGCCUCAUACAGGGGGAUAACAGUUGGAAACGGCUGUUAAUACCGCAUAAGCGCACGAAAUCGCAUGGUACAGAGGUAAAAACUGAGGUGGUGUAAGAUGGACCCGCGUCUGAUUAGGUAGUUGGUGAGGUAACGGCUCACCAAGCCGACGAUCAGUAGCCGGCCUGAGAGGGUGGACGGCCACAUUGGGACUGAGACACGGCCCAAACUCCUACGGGAGGCAGCAG
rnacentral:rRNA from 1 species